AUUGAACGCUGGCGGCAGGCCUAACACAUGCAAGUCGAGCGGAUGAAGGGAGCUUGCUCCUGGAUUCAGCGGCGGACGGGUGAGUAAUGCCUAGGAAUCUGCCUGGUAGUGGGGGAUAACGUCCGGAAACGGGCGCUAAUACCGCAUACGUCCUGAGGGAGAAAGUGGGGGAUCUUCGGACCUCACGCUAUCAGAUGAGCCUAGGUCGGAUUAGCUAGUUGGUGGGGUAAAGGCCUACCAAGGCGACGAUCCGUAACUGGUCUGAGAGGAUGAUCAGUCACACUGGAACUGAGACACGGUCCAGACUCCUACGGGAGGCAGCAGUGGGGAAUAUUGGACAAUGGGCGAAAGCCUGAUCCAGCCAUGCCGCGUGUGUGAAGAAGGUCUUCGGAUUGUAAAGCACUUUAAGUCGGGAGGAGGGGCAGUAAGUUAAUACCUUGCUGUUUUGACGUUACCAACAGAAUAAGCACCGGCUAACUUCGUG
rnacentral:rRNA from 1 species